rnacentral:miRNA from 1 species
GCAGACACAUUCCAGCCAAUGAGCAGCAGACCCUCCCUCCCAGACCCUCCCACCUCCUGGACAGCAUCCAUUGUGAAGCUGCAUUCUUAGUGAGCUGUCCAGGAGAUGGGAGGGUCUGGGAGGGAGGGUCUGCUGCUGAUUGGCUGGAAUGUGUCUG